rnacentral:tRNA from 1 species
GACGGUACGGCCCAAGUGGUAGAGCGCAUGCUUAACAUGCAUAAGGUCCUGGGUUCAAUCCCCAGUGCCUCCU